UAAAAAAAAUCUGUAUUCUAUUUUUUUCUCUCUGUUUAUCGCUCUCUUUCUGCCUCUGUUAAUCUUUGUUUCUGUGUAGUUGCAUCCUGUUUCUGUCUGAAAACCCUUGUCUUUCUGAAUCCAUCUUUCAGUCUCUCACGUUCUGUCUCUCCCCUCCUCCUUCACCUUCCCUCCAUCCCUCUCCCUUGCGCACUUGCCGGGUACCAGCUGAGUGCAUCCUUUUCCCAAACCUGCUCUGCUUCCAAGGGGCCCUUUUCUGUCUCCUCCACCUGUCCCCAUGUUUUGGGGACUGCCUGGAAAUCUGGGACACCCUCCUGAGGAGGGAGCUGGUGCCCAACGGCACCUCUUAGGAUGAACCCCGCCAGCUGCGUUCCUGGCCUCUGCAGAAUGGCAUACAGAAGGCAUUUUAAGCAAGCGAGCUGAGCUCGCCGCAGGACUCCGACUACCAGGCACCAAAUCACUUGGAGCCUCUGACAUCACGUGUCCA
rnacentral:lncRNA from 1 species